UACUACAAUAUACCACCCUGAAUACACCCAGUCUUGUCUGAUCUUGGAAGCUAAGCAGGGUCAGGCCUGGUUAGUACUUGGAUGGGAGACCGCCUGGGAAUACCAGGUGCUGUAAGCU
ensembl:rRNA 5S_rRNA 5S ribosomal RNA